GGGGAUACUCUUUUGGAAACCGGAGCUAAUACCGGAUAAUCCUUUUCCUCUCAUGAGGAAAAGCUGAAAGUCGGUUUACGCUGAUACUUACAGAUGGGCCCGCGGCGCAUUAGCUAGUUGGUGAGGUAACGGCUCACCAAGGCGACGAUGCGUAUCCGACCUGAGAGGGUGAUCGGCCACACUGGGACUGAGACACGGCCCAGACUCCUACGGGAGGCAGCAGUGGGGAAUAUUGGACAAUGGGCGAAAGCCUGAUCCAGCAAUGCCGCGUGAGUGAUGAAGGCCUUCGGGUUGUAAAGCUCUUUUGGUAGGAACGAAACGGUCUGGGUUAAUACCCCGGACUAUUGACGGUACCUGCAGAAUAAGCACCGGCUAACUACGUGCCAGCAGCCGCGGUAAUA
rnacentral:rRNA from 1 species